rnacentral:rRNA from 1 species
GACGAACGCUGGCGGCGUGCUUAACACAUGCAAGUCGAACGGAAAGGCCCUGCUUUUGUGGGGUGCUCGAGUGGCGAACGGGUGAGUAACACGUGAGUAACCUGCCCUUGACUUUGGGAUAACUUCAGGAAACUGGGGCUAAUACCGGAUAGGAGCUCCUGCUGCAUGGUGGGGGUUGGAAAGUUUCGGCGGUUGGGGAUGGACUCGCGGCUUAUCAGCUUGUUGGUGGGGUAGUGGCUUACCAAGGCUUUGACGGGUAGCCGGCCUGAGAGGGUUACCGGCGACAUUGGGCCUGAGAUACGGCCCAGACGCCUACGGGAGGCAGCAGUGGGGAAUAUUGCACAACGGGCGGAAGCCUGAGACAGCAACGCCGCGUGCGGGAUGACGUCCUUCGGGUUGUAAACCGCUUUCGCCUGUGACGAAGCGUGAGUGACGGUAAUGGGUAAAGAAGCACCGGCUAACUACGUG